rnacentral:tRNA from 1 species
GCCGAGAUAGCUCAGGGGUAGAGCGCUUCCUUGGUAAGGAAGAGGUCGGGGGUUCAAUUCCCCUUCUUGGCU